UGACCUCAAAUCGGGUGAGACUACCCGCUGAAC
rnacentral:rRNA from 9 species